UCCUGGUGAAGGUGGAGGCUAGGGCAGUGCCCUCAGCCUGGGGCUCUUGGAGAAGCAGUUUGUCCCUAAGGUACAGAAUUCCAACUCCUAAAGAUCACUCUGCCCUGCCAGUUACUCUUCUUUCACUUCCUUUAGAUGAAUUGAGUAAUUUUAAAAAGUUCACAUACAUCACGCAACCUGAACCUGAAACCCAAAAUGCUCCAAAAUUCGAGAUUUCGAGCACUGACGCUGCUGUCACAUGAAGGGGCCGAGCCCUCCCUUCCCUGCGGUCGGCUGUGAGCGCCACGGUACCCUCGCUCGGGUCGCCUGGGCUCCCAGGACCCUGAGACAGGGAGCAGCGCUGGCCCUUCCUUCCCUAUCCGAGCCCAGCCCACUGAGCGCUGGGCUUGUGCUUGGGACCUUGUCCAGGUCGCCGACAUCGGUGAAGACAGGCAGCGGGGCGCCAAGGACCAGGGCGUCCGGCCCUCUCGGUACGGAACACUGAGCCACCCGCUUGUUCUUCUGCGGGUCCUGCUGCUGCCCGAGACCUUCAGUAAACAGGCGAGGUUUAUGGCCAAGCGAGCCGGGUGCUCUGGCGGUUCUUUCCUUGUCGUGUGCGGUAACUUAGACUAUUUGGCCCACUCAGCUGUGGCAGAGGGUUGCAGUCAAAAUGCAGAUGUGCUGAAAUACGGUAGGAAAUUAGGUUCAGGCUAUGUGUGGGAGAUGUACAUAAAACACUAAUGAAAUCCGUGUUUAGACUCAGCCCCCAUCCCAUGUGCACACACACAAAUAUUCCAAAACACGUGAAAUUGGAAAUUCCUGUAGCCCUAAACUUUUGGGAUAAAAAUCACUUGAUCUGGCUUGCUCACGUGAAUAACUUGCUCUUGCAUUUUCUGAUAGUGUCCUUGCAGUGGCUGUUUUGUUAUCAGGGGUGGAAGGAUCCUUGACAGGUUUCUGGGCUCCUGUGCCUGUGGCCGCGGCCUGUGAGGGUGGAGAGCAGCAUCGAGGUUCACUGAGGUUUAAUUAGGUGCUCGCGAGUGGGCAGCCUUGCCUGGGAGGAAAGGAAACCGGUAAGAGUGGCGAAGGCAUCGGGUUGAAAAUUCAAAACAUUGCACCGGCACGGGGCACCUCUCUCUGGGGCUUCCAGAACAUGACUGGGGCAAUGGAACGGGCACUGGGUCCUGUCAGCAGCUAUGUCUGUCACGCCUGUCCCGUCCCACAACCACUCUGAGGUAACUGGAUGCAAGAGACACAGUCCACAUGCACAGGCCUUCAGCGAGCUCCUGCAGAAAGUUCACUGUAGAUCAUGCUGGGGGACCGGCACACAACAGGUUUGUUUGCAACUUCAGAAUUAGGCUUUAGGACAAAGAUCAGGAGUUGGCCCUGGGCGUUGCCCAGGUUCCAGUGAGUCCAGAGCCCCAGUACCAGUUCCUAGGUUAGUUUCACUUGGCUACCCCGCCCCACAGCGUGGACUUUGGUAAGUUUUCACACAUACACACGCACACACACACACACACACUGCACACCUGGGAGACCAUCCCCAUGAAGAUAAUGAACGUAAUCGUUACUUCCAAAAUACUCUGUUUGCCCUUUCGAUUUCUGUUCUCCUGUUGUCAUCAGCACAGGAAAACAGAACUUUAAAAUAUUUCCUCCUUUCUCGAAAGGAAAGCAGCUUCUACAAACUUCCUCAGGCCCAGGGCAUAAACCGCCAGGCUGUCCUCAACCCGGACAAAUGACAGAACAUGCAGAUUCUGGUGCCCGGACGCAGUUUCACUUCCGCAGAACCCCAGCAGGUGUCCCCCAGGACGGCUGGAGCCGCCUCAGCCUGAGGAGGGACCAGCACCGCCUCUCAGGGUCUGUAAGCAGAGAUCCUCCUGGGCCUCCUUGAGAUGGGGACACCACAGAAGGACAAAGACGCCGUGAAGAGCUCGCUCUGGUGGCCUCCCCACACUGCGUCCUCCAGGGCGAGGUUUUCCUCUUCUUUUCAGCCCGAGCUCACUCUGCAGAGCCAGUUUCUCUCUCUCUUUACUCUGAUUUUUCCAAGUAAAUUUUGCUACUAUUUUUCACUGA